rnacentral:tRNA from 1 species
GCAUUAGUGAUUCAAUGGUAGAAUUCUCCUGUUCCAUGCAGGAGACUGGGUUUAAUUCCCAGUCAAUGUA